CUACGGGCGGCACCAGUGGGGAAUAUUGGACAAUGGGGGAAACCCUGAUCCAGCAAUGCCGCGUGUGUGAAGAAGGCCUGCGGGUUGUAAAGCACUUUCGGUUGGGAGGACUGCUUCUAGCACUAAUAUUGUUGGAAGUUGACGUUACCUUCAGAAGAAGCACCGGCUAACUCCGUGCCAGCAGCCGCGGUAAUACGGAUGGUGCAAGCGUUAAUCGGAAUUACUGGGCGUAAAGCGCGCGUAGGCGGCUAGAUCAGUCGGGUGUGAAGGCCCCGGGCUUAACCUGGGAACUGCAUCCGAUACUGUCUAGCUUGAGGACAGGAGAGGAGAGUGGAAUUCCACAUGUAGCGGUGAAAUGCGUAGAUAUGUGGAGGAACACCAAUGGCGAAGACAGCUCUCUGGCCUGAUACUGACGCUGAGGUGCGAAAGCGUGGGGAGCAAACAGGAUUAGAUACCCUCGUAGUC
rnacentral:rRNA from 1 species